rnacentral:rRNA from 1 species
GCACAAGCGGUGGAGCAUGUGGUUUAAUUCGACGCAACGCGAAGAACCUUACCUGGGCUCGAAAUGUAGUGGAAUCCGGUGGAAACAUCGGCGCCCAGCAAUGGGCCGCUAUAUAGGUGCUGCAUGGCUGUCGUCAGCUCGUGUCGUGAGAUGUUGGGUUAAGUCCCGCAACGAGCGCAACCCUCGCCCUUAGUUGCCAUCAUUCAGUUGGGCACUCUAAGGGGACUGCCGGUGAUAAGCCGGAGGAAGGUGGGGAUGACGUCAAGUCCUCAUGGCCCUUACGGGCUGGGCUACACACGUGCUACAAUGGCCGGUACAAACCGUCGCAAACCCGUGAGGGGGAGCUAAUCGGAAAAAGCCGGCCUCAGUUCGGAUUGGAGUCUGCAACUCGACUCCAUGAAGCUGGAAUCGCUAGUAAUCGUGGAUCAGCAUGCCACGGUGAAUACGUUCCCGGGC